CGGGUGAGUAACACGUAGGUAACCUGCCCAUGUGCCCGGGAUAACUGCUGGAAACGGUAGCUAAAACCGGAUAGGUAUGAGGGAGGCAUCUUCCUCAUAUUAAAGCACCUUCGGGUGUGAACAUGGAUGGACCUGCGGCGCAUUAGCUGGUUGGUGAGGUAACGGCCCACCAAGGCGAUGAUGCGUAGCCGACCUGAGAGGGUGAACGGCCACAUUGGGACUGAGACACGGCCCAAACUCCUACGGGAGGCAGCAUG
rnacentral:rRNA from 1 species